GGGAUGCAAGCAUACGCGGCGAUGCAGCCGGCUCUUAACCGGCAGAACCAGGUUCGAGUCCUGGGCGUCCCA
rnacentral:tRNA from 1 species